rfam:Salmo salar isolate Sally breed double haploid chromosome ssa01, whole genome shotgun sequence.
UGGCUCACUUGGUAGAGCAUGGCACUUGCAAUGCCAGGGUUGUGGGUUCGAUUCCCAU